rnacentral:lncRNA from 1 species
AACAGGGGCUGUAGUGGGGCAGCCUCUUCUAGUUGCCGCGAGACCUAAUUUUUGAAGUCAAUGACUCAAAUGGUUGGGUCAAUUUGUUCGAGCUUUCAGCUGUAGGAAUUUCGACAACUGUGGUUGACAAAAUUCAGAAUCAACGGAAGACCAAUUACUUUGCCCAAUCAAAUUAGGGCUUUGUGCCAAAUCUUAUUAACCGAAAUUCAGUUAAGAUCCUAGGGUUAUUAAUAUAUAUGCAACAGAGAAGAGUGCAGGUCACAAAGACAUACGAGGGAAAAAAACAUAGAAAUCGAAAAUCAUAUGGAAGAAUUUUUACCUUUUUCUCUGUAAUAGUGAUGGCGUAAGAGCUUUUGAUUUCUGCUAUAUUUGAAGCAGAGAUGGUGAAAAAAUUGACAAACUCUUAUCCGAGUUGCAUACUGCAGUGGUUUUGGAUGAG